GCAAUGCUGGAUGGCUCAGUUGGUUAGACUCUAACCAUCAGCACAUGGUGUUGCUAAUGCCAAGGCUGCAAGUUCGAUCCUUGCAUGGAUAUUCCUGCAUUGCA